rnacentral:lncRNA from 1 species
UUUGGAAUCUAAAGUUGGGGAGAGUAAAGUGAAAAGUUGAUUAGAAACUUGGAAAAGUGAGUUUUUAUGAAAGGGUGAAAAUAUGAAAAGAAACAAGAAAAAGAAAUCACCCUUGAAACCAUAGAGCAACGAAAAAGAAAAGAAAAAAAAAACAAAGAAAUGCUCAUGGUUGUGUGGAUGUGGAAAGAAAAAGAAAAAGAAAAAGAUAGGGAUCAAAGAAAUGGAAAUUGUGUAGAGUUGAAUAUUUGGGAAUGCUCCCUUAGGAUAGGCAAUUUGGUUGAAUUCUCUUAAUCAUAUCCUUUCUUGUAACCUAAGCCACAUUACAACCUUUGAAAGACCUCUUGAUUCUCAUUUUUCACAUGAUUUGGUAUUUGUUGUGAUAACCGCAUGAUUUGAAUUGUUGUUGAUUUAAUUGCUUGGAUGAGUGAAAGUAACCCUUCA